rnacentral:lncRNA from 1 species
GGGCUAAAAAAAUAAAACAACAAGGAGGUGAAUGUCAUGCAUAGGCCAUGGGAUUUACGGAAAACUUGUUUAAACAUCUAGAAGGCGAAGCUAUCAGUAUUAUAUCAGUACAGCUGGUUUAUCCGCAAAAGAUCUGUUCUGAUUUUUUCAGUUAAUAUAUUUAUUAUUAUUUUACUUAUGACUGUGGUGUUUAUGGUUUAAGGAAUAUAUUGUUU